rnacentral:RNase_P_RNA from 1 species
UAGAUACGCUGGAUGGUCGCUCGCAUUAGGCGAGAGGAAAGUCCGAACACUGUUUCCAGCUUCGGCUGGAUUCGCAGGCAGUGGCUAACGGCCACCCUCCUACGCACAAAUUGCUACGAAGGGCAAGCGCUUCCUAAAACGGGACCUUGCUCUUCCGAAGCCACAAGGCGAAGGAGAGGGAGAGUGCCACAGAGACUAUACUAUCCCAACGCAAGGUCGGGAAAAAGGUGAAAAGUGUCGCCUCAGGCGACUCGCUCCGCUGGCGACAGCGGAAUGUGGAAAACCCUGCCUAGUGCAAGGCCGUGCCCCGCAGCUGCGGGGAGUGCCGCUUCAGUCCGGUAGGCAACUACCGGUCGAGAUAAAUGACCAUACAUCCCGCUUCGAGCGGGAGGACAGAAUUCGGCUUACAAGCGUAUCAAACUU